AUUGAACGCUGGCGGCAUGCCUUACACAUGCAAGUCGAACGGUAACGGGCCUUCGGGUGCCGACGAGUGGCGAACGGGUGAGUAAUGCAUCGGAACGUACCUUUCAGUGGGGGAUAACGUAGCGAAAGUUACGCUAAUACCGCAUAUUCUGUGAGCAGGAAAGCAGGGGAUCGCAAGACCUUGCGCUGAUUGAGCGGCCGAUGUCAGAUUAGCUAGUUGGUGAGGUAAAGGCUCACCAAGGCGACGAUCCGUAGCGGGUCUGAGAGGAUGAUCCGCCACACUGGGACUGAGACACGGCCCAGACUCCUACGGGAGGCAGCAGUGGGGAAUUUUGGACAAUGGGCGCAAGCCUGAUCCAGCCAUGCCGCGUGAGUGAAGAAGGCCUUCGGUUGUAAAGCUCUUUCGGUACGGAAAGAAAUCGUGCAGGCUAACUAACCCUGUGCGGAUGACGGUACCGUCAUAAGAAGACGACCGGCUAACUACGUGCC
rnacentral:rRNA from 1 species